ACGAUGUAUAUCAUGAAAAUACACUAAUUUGCGCUGAUUGUUUCGCCGCCACCAACCACGGGCUUCUUCUCCACCGCUCCUAUGGUGCCUUCUUGAUUAUACUCUUACUAUUGAUUAUCAUUUUUCUUUCAAUUUUUUUUUGUUCAUUGAAAUCAGGUGAUGAGAAAAAAACUGCAACAAUAUGAUGGUAAAUUCCAUGAUUCGUAGUAUUUAAGUCUCUGAUGAUUUCUCCCUCUAUAUAUACGUGUGAUAGAAUUUGGUUUGGCGCUAAUUAAAAUCUGGAAUGUUGAUGUUUUGGUUAUGGUAUUUGGGAGAUAUGAUGAACGAAAUUGGUCCGUGUUUCUGAUUGAACAGUGACAGAUAACACCUUUCUUUUUUACUCUACUGAUCUCCCAAUUAUAUUUUUAUGUUUAAUUGCCACAUUUGUGAAAAAUAGCUCAAUGAUUGUAUGCCUUUUGGCAAUAUACGCUAUACCGAUCUAAAACAUGAGUAGAUAAUUUUUUUUCAAGUAUGAGAGCUAUUUGUAUUUUCAUAUUUGACAAUUGUUUUAAUGUGAAUUUUUUUGAUAAUUAUGUGUGUCUUCUGCUGUGAUGAAUUCAUGAAAAUUUCACAUGUCAGACUUCAGAGAGAAAUCUAUGAGAAGAUAUUCAUGUAUCUGAGCAAAAUUUUAACUUUUAUAGUAUCAUUUUUAUUGUUUGCAACUUAUAUGUUUACAUGAUUUUGAAUUUUUGGUAAUGGUUAUGAAUUACGGAAUUUUCUUCUGCUUGAUUAUGGCUUCACACAAGAGUCUGCAGCAGGUGCCGGUUAAUGGUAACCCGUCUGCCGCAUGAAGCCUAGACAAAUCCUAGAUGAAGAUCCAUUAGAGUUAAUUGUACUCUCUUGACACAAUAUCUUGGAUAUAUUUAUGUAUACAUAUUAUUUUCAAUGGCAUAUCUCAGACAACGGGUAUCUUCUUCUUAUUUCUAUGAGAAUUUGCCUUUUGCACGGUGCCUAGAUAAUGCUACUUAUCACGAUUGAAGGAUGUUCUGUUUUAUGCCCAGCAUUCUUUCAAAUUAAUAGUAGUCAAAUUAAUUUAAGCAUUGAUGAGAUAGCGAACAUGUAAGGAGAUCUAUUUUAAGCUUGGAUCAGCUUGGAUCUUCAAUGAAAUUUUCUUGUUACGCUUGGCUUCUGAGCUUUUUCUCAUGAACUUAACUUGCUUUUAAAAAAACCUGAUUAAAAAAGCAGGGAUCUAUUGCCUUCUUUGAGAAUGGGUCUCUCGUAAAUGUCAGGGAUAUCAAGAAAUGCAUUGUUAUUGGGUGAACCACUUGACUUUAUUUAUGAUGGAAAGGUUCAGUAAACGAUGAUACAUUAUGUAUACUUAUUUAGUCAUGUAAAUGAAAUUGAAAUCAAAUGAUGAGAAAAAAACUGCAACAAUAUGAUGUGUAUUGGUGGUACCACGCGAAGAAGUUGCACUCUUGCGACAGAUUGAAAAUAGAAUGACAAGCGAACGGAGUACUAGUCUCAAUUUCCGAAGUUAAUGUUGUUUGUAAUUUUAUGUACACUUUAUCAAAAAAAUGUAAUUUAGCAUGUAUACGCCUCGAAAUCCAUAUUCUACAUGUUAUUUGUUCUCAGAUUAUUUGAUGUUUACAAAAUCAAUAUUAUUUGAUGUUUAUAUAGUUAAUACAGAAAGUAGUGUAUUUUUUUUACC